CACAGUAAUCUGUUAAUUCUCUUAAUAUUUUCUAGUAAAUGAAGCAAUAGUAUAUAAUACCCAAGUGCUUUACUCUGCAAACUGCAAUUUAUGCUAUCUAAGUGGGGUAAGAAAAACAAUGAAAUGUAUUUGCUUAUUUGGUUUCCAGUGAGAUUACAGUACCUCUAGGAGAAAUGAAGUUGCAGACUGAUAUGCAAAGAGAAGAAAGGUGGUAGUGAUGCACAGGUACAUUCUUUUAUUGUCAGUGAAAGUGCUCCUAUACUUUUCCUUCUAGAGCAGAUUUUCAAGUGCUUUCUUUCACAGCCGAUAAUGUUGUUAUUUGAACUACUUUUUAUUACAUGAGAUACAGGCCAGAAGAUUGCAUGCUGAUGACUCCUGUUCACCCUUUGUCACCCCUACGCUGCCAUUUCUUCUGUCCUUCCUUUCCCAGUACCAAGAAGAGGCACUGAAACCACCUGAGAAAGAAAGCAGUGGAAGUUGUGAUCAUGGUGAGAGAGUGAGAAGCUGCCACUCAUCCUUGGUUAUGUCUCAGACGCUUCAGCACCAUCCUCAAAACAUGGUUUUUUUCCAUUGGAAGAAGCAUCAUCUUUAAAGUUCUUCUGUCUUCCACAACCCUUGUUUUGCCCCACUUUUAUUAAAUAAAACUAAAUUUAUAUUUUUGAGAUGAAGGUUUUGUUUUCAUUAAAUCCCCUUUUGAACUUUUUCAUUCUCAAGCUUUCUUUGCUACUAGAAAAAAAAAAAAAAAAACAGAAAUAAGACUUUAAACACACUGUAUUUUAAUUGGCAUCGAGUUCUCAGCACUGAGGAAUUCUUAUGAGUUGAUUACAUAGCAAAUGAGGGAGUUGGGUCCAUUCCCUGUCCAUCAUAGGAAACUGCACAAGGGUGUCUUGUCCAGAAGGGUUGCUGGGAAGGUGCCAGCAGCACUAUACUUGAAAGGAAUGAUGGUGAUAUCACCCUAUAAGCACAUUGUCCAGCUUUUUAGGUCACUUUGAUAAA